GUCACGGUGGUCUAGCGGUUAGAACGCUGGCCUUGUAAUCCUGGGCGUCUCGGGUUCGAUUCCCGGCGGUGCCC
rnacentral:tRNA from 1 species